CCUACGGGAGGCAGCAGUGGGGAAUUUUGGACAAUGGGGGCAACCCUGAUCCAGCAAUGCCGCGUGAGUGAAGAAGGCCUUCGGGUUGUAAAGCUCUUUUGUCAGGGAAGAAACAGCAGCUCUAACACAGCUGUGAAUGACGGUACCUGAAGAAUAAGCACCGGCUAACUACGUGCCAGCAGCCGCGGUAAUACGUAGGGUGCAAGCGUUAAUCGGAAUUACUGGGCGUAAAGCGUGCGCAGGCGGUUAUAUAAGACAGGUGUGAAAUCCCCGGGCUUAACCUGGGAAUUGCAUCUGUGACUGUAUAGCUAGAGUGUGUCAGAGGGGGGUAGAAUUCCACGUGUAGCAGUGAAAUGCGUAGAUAUGUGGAGGAAUACCAAUGGCGAAGGCAGCCCCCUGGGAUAACACUGACGCUCAUGCACGAAAGCGUGGGAGCAAACAGGAUUAGAUACCCUGGUAGUCCACGCCCUAAACGAUGCUGACUAGUUGUUCGGGAUUUUANCCUGAGUAACGUAGCUAACGCGUGAAGUCAGCCGCCUGGGGAAGUCGGUCGCAAGAUUAAAACGCGAAAGAGUGACGNNGAGAGNGCGACGGACGACGACGAGGGAGGAG
rnacentral:rRNA from 1 species